UUGGGUGAGGCGAUUAAACGACAGAAAAGGUGCUGCCCCUUUCCCUUUCCAUUGCCUAUGUUCGUCCAUUUUUUUCGCCCGCAUGCAAGAGUACUAUGACUGGUGGAUUUACUUAUAGUCUGAUGUGCAUAUACAUUGGUUUACCUAUUUUUAGGCACACGCUUUACACUGCAAAAAAAAACUAAUCUUCAGAACCUUUCACACUGAGUCGAGAUCAGUUGAAUUGGGUAGCGUGGUCUAUUAGUUCAUUACUACAUCAACUGAUUCCCUGCUGACCAAGUUUGCAGUGUCAGGCUGACACAAAGAUGGUUUUCAGUCCAUUAUCGACUCUACAGCCAAAGGAUUACCGCAAAACAAUAUGUGUUCGUGUCUGCAGGAAAUGGGAAUUCCGUGGCCAAAAUGAUACUGGUCCAUUGCAACAUAUUGACCUUGUGAUUGCUGAUGCUCAGGUAAAUUGACGUUGUCAUUUUAAACAGCACCUACAUCAUGCAUUACUACCACUUCAUGUAUUAAACACACGCAACAAGAAAAUAAAAGAAUGCUACAUGUCUAACAAAAAAAAUGCAGGGAAACACAAUGUAUCAAUCUACUAUCUCAAGUUCACCUAUAAUAUAUGAUAUAAAUAAAUAUGCUAGAUAUCUACCUACCUAUGUAAUUAGUGGUACUUCAG